GAGCUGGGGCCGGGCCUCGCCCCGCCCGCCCGGGUAGGAGCCGUCCCCGCCGUGCUGAGGGUGAUGGGCGGCUGCCGGCCCGGCGGGUUUGCGGCUCGGCCGCGCCCAGACGCGCAGGUCUGGGGGCUGAACGAUACCCGACACCCCCCGGGCACGGGAAACGCGAGGGGCGGUGGGGUUGCCCCACGGCUCCCGAGACAAAGCUACGGCAGCGCCCGCCCCGCCGGGGCAGCGGGCAGAGCAAGGGCAGCGGGACCCGCCCCGGCACAAGGGGCCGCGGGAGCCGCGCUGGGGGCGCUUAGGCCGCAGCGCCCGAGGGCGCCGUACAGGCUGCGGCAGCCUCAGGAGGACGGCGACGGCCCGCAGCGCCGGCGCGGAGGGGAGAGCGCGCAGCCCCGCCGUGCAGAGCCCAGGGGCUGCGCGGGGCCCUUCGCGGGGGGCUCUCGGGCCCGUUACGGCCCCCCGCCCCUGCGCCAGGGCGCGACCGGGCGGGAGGGGGGCGGCGAGGGGGCGAGCGGCAGGCGGGGCCCGUGGCCAGCGGCAGCCCGGCGCUGCCAGCCGGACUCCCGGCAGGUAACACGCGUGCCUGGGCCGCCGCGAUCUUUGGGCACCGUCAGCGCCGCCGAGGCCGGCGGUGCUCGCCCGCGUGGUUUGUCCCCUGCGUGAAUUUCAGGAGAGAGCCAUGCAGAACAUCCACGGGGGAACGUCCAUGCUGCGUUAUGGCAAGUUUUCGGCCAGCUGUUCUCUUGCUGUAAGAAUCAGAGUAACAUUUACAUACCUAUAAGCAAGCAGUCCUUGGAUCAGUACGGGUGUUUUGAUGGUAACAGGCAAAUUUGGGAUCACCCCCCGCCCCCGCGACCAUCUGCAGUUCAGCUCUGUAUCAGCAACAGGCUUGUGCAUCCCGUAGGUCCACCGGGCUGCCAAAGCGCAUCUAACAAUUUCAUGUGCUUAAACAACAAAAGAUAGCAGCACCCCGUGACACAGCUAAUAAUUCAUAUUCUGUGCAGAACUGGUAUUUAAAAAACAGCUCUUACUUGCCCAUCUGUGUGCUUCUAUAUUGCUGCUGUUGUCAGAGUGACCAUGCAGCUUUAUGCCAGCUACCAUCUCUUCUGCAUCUAACAAGAUCUGGAUGAAAGAUUAAUAUAGAUUACCUCGAUAAAUCUAUCAAAUCUGUGAUCUGUAAAGAGCUAAGGGCAUGUACAUGACUUGUUUUGGGCACAGAAAGUGUGUUUAAUUUGAAUUGCCAGUGCGUAGCUGCUUACAGGAUCAGGUUCCACAUCAGAUUGUCCUGCCCUACCCUCUCCUUGCAUUCCCUAGGAACGCACAAGUUUAUUCUGUCCACAGCUGGGGGAAAAAAAUAAAAUGGACCAAGGCAAAAUACUAGGGAGUACAAUUUCCUUUAAACAGAAGGAAACCACUUUCCCAAAAAAGCGUAUGUUUGGUUUGAUCUCCCCUGCUUUGCUGCAUGCUUAAAGAUACUGUGGAAGCAUCUCUUACAGCAAACACACUCGCUGCAGUCCAGCAGGACUGUGCAGGUUAGAAAUGCCUGCACUGAAGAGCCCCAACGUUGGCUGCGAACAUGGGCAGUUCACAUUCAGGACACCGAUAAAAACUUUUUAGGUAAUCUUUGUCAGCAAAAGCAGUUCCCGAUUUUUACCAUUGGCUUUAACGUGUAACCUAAACUAAACCCAGAUGAUCUAGUCUCAAAUUUCAGUACUAUGACAAAAACUACAUUUUAUUCAUAUAUGUUAUUUCCAGUCCCAGGCAGAAGAAGUUUAUAAAGGCCUCCAGAGUCUGAGGAAUGACUUCAGAGCCUAAAGGAUCCUCUGUGAGUAUUUUUCAACCUACCUCAACAGCAUCAAUGAGUAAAAACCAACCCUGGGAGAGAGACACAGUUAUGCUUGUUGGAAAGAAGCCAUGGGAGCCAGAAGAGAAACUUUAAGAUACAGAGUUGUCUGCAGAGCUUGUGGCCUCAUAGAUAAAGGGAGUUGCUAAAUUGCUGUGUCUGCAAUACAAAAAGGUGCUAGAGUGGCAAAUUGCUGAGCACAGUUACAGGCUGAUAUGUCAGCCCGCUGUAAAGGUAUAAAAGGCUUGCUCGAUUUUAAUAAGUGUCUUCAAGGUGUCUUCGAGUUUUUGAUCCGCUCUCGGAGUCUGUACAUCAAUAUGCCACAAUCCUCUUUUUUUUUCUUUCCAGUUUUAGACCUGACAUUCCGUAUUUGGCAUGAACAAUAUAGCUUCUACCCAUAAUCAGUGUGAGAUACUAAUAAUCUACACCGAGAAUCGCAUCUUUUCUAUACCACCAGAAUUAUUUCCAUCAGAUAAAAGAAAAGCAACACCACUCGGAAAAAUCACUUUCCCCAGCCAAAACAACAACAUGAAAUGAAAUCUGUAACUCUAUUCAGGCAUUCCUAAAGCAUUAAGGAACACAGAUGCUUAAUUGUAGGCUUUGAGCGCAUUAGUUAGAAAGUGGAAACUGAAGCUAAAUAACCAUUAGCACAGAAAAUAAACUGCUUGAAUAAUACUAUAUAUAUAUUGAAAUCCUUUUCAAAGGGAUAAUGAAAUUAUCCUUUCCUUCCCUCUACCUGUUUUCUACCACGUAUGCACACUUCUAAACACAAGGACAGACAUCCAAGAGACAUCUAAACCACCUUCCAUUGCAAGGCCAUCCCCCCAACUCUCCCAUUGCAUUAAGUGCUCCUUUAUGGUUUUUCUUAUGUUUAACGGCCUCUCAGCUUUUGAGUGAACUUAUCCCAACCGAUCAGCCUUUUUCUGUUCCUUUCCCUAUACCUCCUCAUGCAAUUGAAUUUGCUCUUCCAUUACCUUAACUUGGAGUUACUAUCUAAUUCUGCUGAUUUUGCAUAAAAUUACCGUAAGCAGAAAACAGUUGUCUUGUUAGGUAGGCAGAUCUGGAAGGGUGGCUAUCAGCAUUAAGUAUUUAAAAGAAAAUAUAUUGCAUGAUUUUUAAAGGACUAAGAUUGUAAAACAGACUAGAUUCCACUCACUAAACAGUUAUGUCAUGCAAAAAAAAAAAAAGUCAGUAAAGAGGGUAUUUUGGGUUCAUUAAUCAUCACACAAGCUUCAAAGUGAUAAAGGAAUUUUUAAUAUGUUGUAUUCGAAUAACUAAGAACACUGACCCAAAUACUGAAUGUAAACAUAUUUCUAAGCAAUUUAGUGGGUGGUAGAGUAACAGGGUAGAAUAAAGCAGGUGACAAGGAAAACAAAGUAGCUUAACCAAAGAACAUUUGAGCCUGUCCUAUAAACUGUCUCUUUCAGUUAUUUGUAUUUUCACAGCCUUUUGGCUGGAGCCUGGAACAAGACAGCAAGGUUACACUGUGAAACCUCGUGAUUGAAGUGACACGGGAAACAUCGUUACUGAAACCUGCCGUCUCUGUGACACACACACGGCAAAGAUGAGGACACGUGCAACAGCCUGAUGGGACAGACAGACCUUCAUCUCCUGGCAAGAAAACGAUCCAAAACAUGGAAAGACUGACUGGAAGCUACAGAAGCACUCGAUAGUCCAAAACAGCAAGACCAUAAAAAGGAACAGCGCUGCCUGCCUGGGCUGCAAGUUACCGUAUUACGGGCUAACCUGGAACACGGCACGACACCAGGAGGACUUUUCUUUUCCUCUGCAUGAGUCAGAGUAUCAUCCUCCAGGACAGGAAUGCCCGUGCCAGGGCAUGGGACACCACCUUCCUCCCAGAGACUCAAGGUUUCCACACUAACUGGAAGAAUUUGAAAAACAUCUUAACGUGGUCAGGCUUGCCCAGAACUAAUAAAAGCCAACAAGAAUCCCCAAACCUAGGAGAAAACAACGUUUUGUCACUGUUGGCACACAGACUAGAACUGGACAAUAUCCUGUUGUUCUUUCUCUCUAUUUUUCACCAUAGCAGCAGUAUCAUCGAGGAGAGAGAGACAAAGGGUCAGGGAAAUGGCUAGCACGCGCAGACACAGAUGUUGAAUGAGAUGGGCAGGAUGCACAGCCAUUCUGGAGUCCGCAAUCUUAGAGCGCCUGACAGCUUUAUGAAUGUUUAAAUGUACUUUCCUGAGCAUAACGUUCAGUUUGUUCUACCAUUGCUGCAUAUUAAAAAGUAUUCAAAGUAGUCUCAUAUUUUACUUACAAAAUAUCAGUUCUGUUCAAAGUGGGAAAUGUUUGCCUGAAUCAGGACAGAAGAAUUCUCCCUUUCCAUAGACAUGGAAGAUGCACGGUGAACUUGAUAAAUAACAUCGCUAAACAUAUCCAUUCUUCACAAUCAGCCUUUAGACUCAAGGUCUGAUCGUGACAAACCCUUGACUCCAAGCUGUUAGUGAAAGACAGCGAGUAUAAUAAAGCUGGUAUAUAUUAUCACACCUCAGAUGCAGGCUGUCAUCACCCUGCCCUGACUGAGCUGUUAAAUUGUGACAACUUCUGAGUCCAGUUGUCAUUUUCACUCCAGCUCUGUCAGUACUGAACCAAUGCGAGAAACAUGUUUAGUCAAACUGCCUUUCUAAAAAAACACCGUGCUAAUUUAUUCAUUGUCCUUACUUUGCCCAUUUGAUAUUUGCAUCACAUUAAAAUCCUGAACCAUUCUAUUCUAUUUGAAUGGCAAGGUAUGGUAAAAAACAGCGGAACUUCUAUUUCUAGAUCUAAAAUUAGUUUUGGGUGAGAACCUUGAAGAGUGUGUCUUGUUUGGUGAAAGGUGAGGAGUAAAACCCAAUAAAUUACCAAGAUUUUGGAAGAACCUUGGAGCCAAGCAGGUGAAAUCCUGCUGCCGAGUGAGCUUAACUGCUUGGAAGUAGCAUCCUGAUUUUACUAGCGUACAUACAGAUGACAAAUUUGGUUUGAGAUGUAAUCCUCAAACUAUGUAACAAACUAUUAUGUAGUAUGAUUAUAUAUUGGCCUUCUGCCACCCCGAAGCCUCACACAGAAAGCUGAGAAUAACGGUUUAACAGAGACCUCCAACAAUGUAGGUGUGUUGGUGGUGUUAAUCUAAGGAAUUUGGGUGUAGUCUCUGUGCACAGAGAUUUGAAGCUUCCCCUUUUAAAAGCUAAGUACACACACAUUUAAAUAAAACAAAAAACCACCAAGGCAGCUCCUCUAUUUCAAAGUGGAAAUGAGCUCAGUCAAAUAACGGGGGGAGGGGGGCAGUUUUAACUGUCUGUUCUAAGACGAGCCAAGAGACCAAGCUGUGUGUUCUGUUUGAAAGUUAAAUGUAACUGCAAGAGAAAUCAACGGAGGGAUCUGCCUGGAGUCCUGCCAGAACAAAAUUAGUAAAAAAACCACAAAAGAUGAGAAGACGAAUGGCUGGCAAUGCACCAACUACUGGUGCUGUAAACACGUACCGAGCUCCUAGCUUGUAAAUUAUGGAAUUUAGUGUUACUAAGAAUAAAAUCAGAUGAAAUAAAUAGAAAGCAAGAAAAGGCUGCGAGCCCAAGUUCUGUUCCCUCACAGAUGGCGCGCAGCCCGAGCCAGGGGCGGCGGAACCCGCGGCGCAGCAGCUCCCAGCCGGGGCUCAGCCCGGGCCCUGGAGCCUCCCGGCCGCACGGGCUGGGGCAGGGGCCGGCCCGGCCGCGACAGGUGCUCGCAGGGCCGCCGCCGCCUCGCACUCGCGGCGGGCAGGGGGGAGCGGCCCUGCCCCGCGGCAGCGCUCCCCGCCCCAGCGGCCCGGCCUCACCGGCUGGCGCCGCUGGGGAUGCGAUGCCGCUCAGCCCGCCCCGCCGCCCUGCCCGCUCGGGCCCGGCGCUCCGGCAGCGCGGCCGCUGAAGGCCGGGCCGGAGCCCGGGGCGGGGCGCCGGGAGCCCCCGAGGCCCUCCGGCUGGGGGCGCUGACGGCUGGGCGAGGCCCGCUGUCACCAGGCUGGGCCGGGCCCGGCCCGGCCCGGCGGGGCCUCCCGCCCGCCCUCAGGCGCCGCACCCCGCCCGAGCGGCUCCGACGGCCGGGGCCCCCAUAAUGGCGGCGGGCGGCGCAGCUCGGGGGGCAGCGGCAGCGGGCCCCGCUCGGGCCGCCUCGCAGCGCGGAGCCCGGCCUCACCCUCCCCGGGCGCGGCCCCCGCCAACCCGCUGCGGCGCCUGAGGGGAACGCGCGGCCCCGGCGCGGC